GGAUGUGAGAGGGUGAUCUGGCCAUGACCUCUGCCACACAUUCAUUGCCAGGGAAGGUCCAACUGAGCCGGCUGGCGAGGCAGCUGCCCCUUCCUCCCUCACUGUUCUGCUUGUGCCCUUCCCGAAGCAAGGCUCUGGGUCCCAGAGGACGGCCUUCCAGCAGCCUCCCUUCAGCGAGGGUUAGAGGAGCUGCUCCUCUGCCAGAACCUCCAAACUCGUUCUUGAAGACAAAAGCAAAAAAAGGGGGGGCCUAGGGCCAGAGCAGUAGUACAGCGGGGAAGGCUUGAGGAUUGAGGGUUCAAUCCCU
rnacentral:snRNA from 1 species